GAUGAACGCUGGCGGCGUGCUUAACACAUGCAAGUCGAACGGAAAGGCUCCUGCUUGCAGGGGUCCUCGAGUGGCGAACGGGUGAGUAACACGUGGGUGAUCUGCCCUGCACUUCGGGAUAAGCCUGGGAAACUGGGUAUAAUACCGGAUAGGACCACAUCUUGUAUGGUGUGGUGGAAAGUUUUUCGUGGUGGGAUAUGCCUGCGGCCUGUCAGUUAGUUGGUGGGGUAACGGCCUACCCUGGCGUCGACGGGUCGCCGGCUUGAUGGGGUGGACGGUCUCAUCGGGGCUGCGAGACGGCCGAGAAUACUACGGGAGAUAGUAGUGGGGAUUUUGCUGCAAUAGGCGCAAGGCUGAUGCAGUGGCGCCGCGCUGGGGAUGAUGGCCUUCCUGUUGGAAACGUCUUUCGCGAAGGACGAAGCGAAAAUGACGGUACCUAGAUAAGAAGCAACGGCUAAAUACGUG
rnacentral:rRNA from 1 species